rnacentral:rRNA from 1 species
UUCCUACGGGAGGCAGCAGUAGGGAAUCUUCCGCAAUGGACGAAAGCCUGACGGAGCGACGCCGCGUGAGCGAAGAAGGCCUUCGGGUCGUAAAGCUCUGUUGUGAGGGACGAAGGAGCGCCGUUUGAAGAGGGCGGCGCGGUGACGGUACCUCACGAGGAAGCCCCGGCUAACUACGUGCCAGCAGCCGCGGUAAUAAAA